rnacentral:tRNA from 1 species
CAUUAGAUGACUGAAAGUAAGUAAUGAUCUCUUAAAUCAUUUUAUAGUAAAUUUAACGAUUACUUCUAAUGA